AUAUAGAGAGUUCAUGGGAGAAACUUAGGCAACUGAGCAAGUAACUUGGAACAGAUAUGUUUUUCUCAAAAUUUUGGAAAAUGGAAACUAAAGUCAGAAAAGGUCUGAUGUGGCUGGAUGCUUGCUCAGUUCUCUCUCUGUACCUUUCAGGAAUAAUGUGACCAGCAGGGGAGUUUAAAAUCUUUGUAGAGAAAUCACAAAUCAAAGGAAUGGACAGUGCAUGAAAGGAGUUUCUUUUUUCUUUUAAUGAGUGAGAAGAUCUGGCUAGGACCGUGAACUCUUCACGCUUGCUGCGCGGGAUGUUAGGCCAAAAGGUUUACUAGGCAAAACUGAACUCAUUGCAUCUCAUCUCCAUGGAUUAAAAAAAAAAAAAGUAUUUCUGGAGCUCUGUUAGGUGAGAAUGGUGUAAAAAUGGUAAGCACUUUUAAAAAGAUCUGCUCUUACUUGUAUUUAUCUAUCUUCAUAGUGCUGAGUAGCUGAGUUCGGAAUUAGAUUGCAUUUCACAAACCUUUAAAUAUUGGACGUUCAUUGAAUGAAAAUGAUCAAAUUUACUCUCUGAUCUUCCUGCUGCACUUUCCAUUUAAACAUACGUGCCUAAAAAUGAGCAAUGUAUUGGUGAUGCUGCUUUCACAGUGCACAACGGUUGGGAAGGAUGGUGAUGAACUCAGAGAAUACAUUGCAAGGGGUGUCCUGAAAGGAAAACGCGAAAUGUAAGCAAAAUUUCAAGCAAGUAGCAGCUGUUUCCUCUCCUUCAACAGGAGAGGGAAAUAGUUCUGAAAUAUAGGCAGAAUCCUGGCAUGUUGUGGAGUCGUGGUCUGAAGGAAAAAAUGAAGUCCACAUUUGAAUAGUUGGAGUUUUGUUAAUUGGGGUAGGUUGGGGAAGGUGUGUCACAGGGAGGUUAAUAGGAUAAGCCAAGCCUUGAAAUGGACCAGCUUGUGAUAGGCUCUAUCUUAGAGUGUUGAUGUGACUAAAGUGCUGUACAUCUUAGCAUGCAGCCCGUGCUCAAUAAAGUGUACCUCUGUUACUAAGUCAGCUUUACACGAAAGCAGAUAAGAAUUAAUCUGAUUAUUAGCUGCUCCUGUCUCCUCCCCUCAGUGUUUCAUUUUAUAGUGUAUAACAUCUUAAAUUUUAAUUCCCUCACAUAUCUCAAAGUCUUUUUAAUCUUCCAAAAAUGAAUUUGUAAAUGCAAAUACUCUAGAUAUCUUCUUAUCAUUUCGGCUGGUCUGAACAGAGCCAGUUCAAUUUUUUAAUAUACAUUUUGCAAAUUUUCAAAAUAUCCAUUUCAUUCAUCAUUGUAAGCAACAUCAUAUGCUUUGUUGUUUUAAAAAUAGAGACACCAUAAACAAAUAAGAUUGAAGACUCACGGUGUACAUCAGCAGCUAAAAGGCCUGGAACUCUCCUACAGAAAAGAAACUGUUGUCUAACUUUAGAAUUUCCCAAUUUGAUCAGAACCCAUUUUUGUUAGCAGCAUCUAUUCAUGUGCCAUGGCUACAUUUCAGCUUAAGACUACAUACUAGUAGGAAGAAUUAUUUCUGAACUUAAUAGUUAACUGAGAAAGAUUCUUUAGGAAUAGGACAUAGAUUAGACAUUUGUAACAAGGGAAUCAGAGAGUGGAUACUGAAAUGGGAGACAGGAGGAUGGCAGUUUGGUUUUUCCUACCUCAAAAGGGCGAAGAAUAGAAGUCACGUGACCAGUGGUCUGCCUCUGGCUUAUCCACAUACCAGCCAUUGACCUGUGCUUACCUUUAACCAGAUAGCCUGUGUGGUCCCCAGUUUUUACCUGGGUCAAAUAGGGUAGGGGAGGCAAGGAAUUUCUAGGGUUUCAUCUAGAUCAUCCUUGUCUUAAUUAUUUUGUUUUGAAAAAUGCAUAAUAUUUUUUACUUUGGUGUAGGUGAUAGCAGCGUAAGUUUAUUAUUUUAAACUUUAGAGUUCCCCCCCCCUUCAAAGUCUCUAGGAUAGGUCGAUAAAGAUUCUUGACAUCAAGAGUUUAGAUUUUUUUUUUUUGCAGUUUGAAGAAUGUUAGUUUUUAUAAUUCAAGAUCUUGAUCUAGUUCUAUUUUAUUGAAGCAAAAACCAAAUAAAUAUUUUCUUUUCAAAAUAAUGGGAGUUAUUUUGGAUGGAAAGAUCAACCCAUGAUUCCAUUGCCUCAUCUUUAUGUCCACUCGGCUUACUGGCCCACAAACCAAAUCUUCACACAAUGGAAGAAUUAGAAGAUACCUCAUGCUCAGUGGCUCACUGGAAUUACUCCAUAAACCAGCAAUUGUACUUCACUAAUGCGUUCGCUGUUGACUCAGGUUAUCCUGAUCUUGGGGAGGGACUGUGGUGUUUUCACACAAGCAGCCCUGCAGGUCAUGUGGUUAGCUUUUGUGGUGAGAUGAGCUGUAACAGAUUUAGAAGCUUUAUGGAUUUAAUGGCCAUAGUGUGGGCUGGUUGGCAAAGACUGAGGACAAAAAGAGAGAUCUAGGGGACAUUCCUACCCUUUGAAUAGGAGGUAUGCAUAUCACUGGAUUUUUUAAAGUAGCAGGUGAUCAUGAAUCACUGUUUUUAAACUUGCUCACUUUUGUGUUAUAUAAGGGAGAUAUAUAAAUACAUAGAUGUGUCACAAAAUAAUUAUUCAUUAUAGCAAUUCCAAUGAUACCAGUUUGCACAUAAAAUAUACCAAUACUGUUUGUAGCCAGAUGAAUACUGGUACAAUAAUUACUUUUCCAUCCAACAACUUGUUUGGUUUUGGGUUUUUCCUUCUUUUAAUUUUUGGGGGUGGGGGGGGCAGGGGAAGGAAACUUUCUGUGAAACCAAAGUCUUGCUGCUGCUGCUUUUUUUUGAUUGUUUGUGUUUGUUACCAAGGAUUGAACCCAGGAAUACUUAACCGCUAAGCAACCAUAUCCCCAGAUUUAUUUAUUCAAGACCAUUUCAGUCUAUUUUUUUAUAUUCUGUGAUUGGACAUGGAGUUUUUCUGAAUAUAACUCCUUUGAGAUCUAAUAUUUUUUGCAUUUAAAAUUACAUAUGGUAUCAUCUCAAUUGUCUGAAGAAACAGCUAACAUUUUCUUGCAACUCUAGUAGGAGCCUUAUUUUUAGUAGCCCUGAAAUCUGAGGCGUUGCAUGUUGCUAGACACAGGCCAGAUUUAGGGCUAACUAACGUCUCGCUCUUCUGGAAAGUUUCAUCUUUAAAUCAUUUUUUGAGAUAAAGUUUCAGCAAUAGGGUUAAAAUUCUCAGAGAAUAACAGAACGGAAAAGGAGCAACACCAACUUCAAACCACCACCAUUCAUGCUGAUAAACACCAAUAUUCUCCCAGAAAUUCUCACAAACGAUUUCAUAGAGUCAGGCCUUGAUCCAUCACCAUUCCAGGAAAAAACAAAUACCUACGCGGAAUGUGCAAUAAGUCUGGGGCUUAAUGCCAACUCCUAAGAUAGAGCUUGCGUUAGGGAAGCUCAAGUGUGAAAAGACAAUGAGGAGUUCCUUCCGUUUGGCAGGACAAAUCGGUUUUAGAGUAAAUCCAGGCAGGAGGAAGAGAAAACAAGCCUCCUGACCCUGACUGAACUUCCUCGUGCGAUGCUCCCAGGAGCUCAGCAGAACCCACGGGCUGGUUCUCAGUAACAGAGCCAAGGACGGAGGAGGCAGCUCUAGGGCUUGGUGGGAGGACCCCGGGUACACGCCCACGCUGGCAAGGUGGAGAGCGGGAAGAUGAUACGUGCUCCAGAGCAUCCAGUGCCCCUCUACGCUUCUUCCUCUCUUACAUAACGUCCUAACUACGCUUCAACAAGAGCACAAAUAGCACUUUAUUUAGCCAUGAACUAUCCACUUCUUGGAUACUCUCUGCACUGGCAGCAUACAGUGAUAGUUAGUUGGUGCAUUUUUACUACAUCUGUGAUGCAGAUAGGAGGUUGACAUAGGCAAAGGAAAAUAGGAAACGACCAGCCGUUUCCACAUCCAGUCUUUUGCUAUGACAUGCCCAAGAGUAUUCACCCUGAUCUCUCAGCUCCAGUCCCUUUCUCUUCUCUGGGUCACAAUAUUCAAAAAGUCUUGCCCCCAUACCCUACCCUCUCCCUCCCCUUUGCCCAAUCACAGUUCCUCCAUUUGGCAGGAAAGAUGGUGGCAUGAGAUGGACAUCAUUACCCUAGGUACAUGUAUGACUGCACUUAUGGUGCAACGCUACCUCGUGUAUAACCAGGGAAAUGAAAAGUUGUGCUGCAAUUGUGUGCAAUGAAUCAAAAUGCAUUCUGCGAUCAUAUAUACCUAAUUAAAAUAAAGAAAGAAAGCUCUGUGAUGUUCAAGAAGAGAGAGAAGGAGUAGGCGAGGAAACCCCUUAUCCAGGAGAGAGGGUCACAAUUCUACUUCCCAAAUAGCUGAGUACCCAUGGGGCACAUCAACGAAAAACCCUGACUGGUUGCCGUGCCCUGACUCUGUUACACAGCUUAAGAAUCCUCUUAAGAAAAUGGGCCACAGACCUACAUCCGUGUUUGUGGCAAUUAUUCUGCACUGUCUUCCUUUAACAAACCUUCUCCCACUUCUAUCUCUCACCUCUAACCCCGACUCCCCAGGUUAUAGUUUGACCUUUUAGGUGCCAUUUUAACCAGAUCCCUUGGAUCUAGUGUUUGUUUCUGGUCUGAUUGCUGAUUUAUGGCUCCCUCUUGUGGACGUCAGUUUGCAUUUGCCCCUUCAAGGUAUUCACCCCAUUUCUAAGGGAGGAGAUAAUACUUAACGAUGUUAUGAUCUAGUAAUGUAUUGUACUAUGGCUAAAGCAUAUAGGAUAUUAGGAAAGCCUAAGUGUGUCUUGAAGAGUCAGGCUGGAUCACAUAGAAUUGUGAAUGGGAAGGAAAAGUGGGACUUUCCAGGCAGACAAGGGGAAAAGAUAGCGCUAAGCACGGAAUACUUUGGUAAGUAGGUGAACAGAGCUAAGGGAAUGGGGGGGUCCAGGGCAGAGCUCAAGCCAGCUUUUUGGCUUCAGUGACCAUAUUAGAGAACUCUGAAAGUCAGCAAUUGGUAGGUAGUCCCCCAGUGUAAUAUAGUUCUUCAUAGAUCAAAUAAAUCACUACUAUAAAUUACCACACUUAAACAUUUUGAACAUGUCCUUGAAUGCUUGGAAAUAUUACUUAUAUUCAGAUAAUCAAAAUAUUACUUAGGCUAUCAUUAAAUAAUUUUUAUAAACUUUUAUCAAGAUUUUUUGCUUAUUUACAUUCUUAGAAUAAUAAAACUACAAAUAUAUGUAUAUUAUUCUAUAAUAUAGGCUUUUUCAUUUAAUAUGACUUCAUUAAUUCAAACUUACAAGAUCCUACUUGUUCUUUCAAUGUAAGGUGUUCGGUUUCUUUGAGUACACAUCCUCUGUAUCCUGUGAUGGUGAAGAUCAUGGAAUAUUGGCUCUGCUGAGUACAGCUAUCCUGAAGAAUUUGCAACAGUGACCUUGCCCUCUGCUUCUUUGUACUGUGUGGAUUAUUACUAGCUCCUGAAGGCAUAUUAUACCUUGGAACUGAUGGCAUUAAAUGUGUUCAUGCAUAUCUCCAGCUACUGGAUUGUCCCAUCAGCGAGCAAGAUUUUCAUAGGUUCUGAAGUAUUGUCAUUGCUGCAACCAGUAAAGUUCAAAGUCAUAAUAAAAUAGCAAAGUGGGUUAAGUGCAUAUUCUUUGAAAGUACUCUUCAUUUGACAUGAAUUAUUCUAGGCAGAUAAUGUAAUUUUUCUUUUGAUGCAAGAAAACUACCUUGAAGAGUCAGAUAGAUACCUCAAAACUGGAGGAUUUUUAUCCAUCUUAGCUUAUCAAACAGUUUAUUAUCUGUACUUAAUUUGAGAUUGGG
rnacentral:lncRNA from 1 species